CUAUAUCAAUUCGAUUGCAUAAAUAUGGGAAAGUACAUAAGUUCCUCGUUAAACUUGUCCAAAAAAUAAGUUUGAACACUUAAACUAAUCAAGGUGUUUUCGGGAAAAAUUCUGUCACGAGUUCAAUAUGAUUCUUUUCUCAUUCAUUAAUUGAGAUGAUUGCAGUGCAUGUUUCUUCGUGAAUUUCUACUUUUUAAGGUGAAAUUUCAUGUACAAUUUAAAUUUGGUAUUAUGUGUUUGCUAUUAUAUAUUUUUAUUUUUUCACCAUUUGCUAUAAUCUAUUAUGAAGGUGAUUAUCAUUUUUAAGAUUGUGUAAUAUAGGAAAAUAGCACUUUCGCCUAAUUUUUUUUCUUUGCUUUUUUGUUAUGGCGGAGGUUACUGUAAUUUUCCAUUUUUGUUUGAAGGGCGGCAGCUACGUCGGUGAUGGCCAAUGGGACUUGGGGAAAUGAUAUGAAGAAAAAAAUAGUGAAAGAAAGAAGAAAAAAGGAACUAUAAAG
rnacentral:lncRNA from 1 species